rnacentral:rRNA from 1 species
UACGUAGGGUGCAAGCGUUAAUCGGAAUUACUGGGCGUAAAGCGUGCGCAGGCGGUUCGUUGUGUCGGCGGUGAAAUCCCCGGGCUUAACCUGGGAACUGCAUUUGUGACUGGCGAGCUAGAGUAUGGCAGAGGGGGGUAGAAUUCCACGUGUAGCAGUGAAAUGCGUAGAGAUGUGGAGGAAUACCGAUGGCGAAGGCAGCCCCCUGGGCCAAUACUGACGCUCAUGCACGAAAGCGUGGGGAGCAAACAGG